CUAACAAGGAUUCCCCUAGUAACUGCGAGUGAAGCGGAAAAGCUCAAAUUUAAAAUCUGGUGGUCUUCGGCCAUCCGAGUUGUAAUUUAGAGAAGCGUCUUCCGCGCUGGACCGUGCACAAGUCUCCUGGAACGGAGCGUCGUAGAGGGUGAGAAUCCCGUCUUUGGCAUGGACACACCAGGGCUUUUGCGAUGCGCUCUCGAAGAGUCGAGUUGUUUGGGAAUGCAGCUCAAAAUGGGUGGUGAACUCCAUCUAAAGCUAAAUAUUGGCGAGAGACCGAUAGCGAACAAGUACCGUGAGGGAAAGAUGAAAAGCACUUUGGAAAGAGAGUGAAACAGUACGUGAAAUUGUUGAAAGGGAAACGCUUGAAGUCAGUCGCGUCUUCCGAGACUCAGCCUCGCCUCGGCUUGGUGUACUUCUCGGCCGACGGGUCAGCAUCGAUUUCGCCUCUUGGAUAAUGGCGAGGGAAACGUGACACCUUUGCGGUGUGUUAUAGUCCCUCGUCGCAUGCAAGGAUCGGGAUCGAGGAACUCAGCACGCGCCUCUCGGCGUCGGGGCUUUGCCACGAUACGUGCUUAGGAUGUUGGCGUAAUGGCUUUAAACGACCCGUCUUGAAACACGGACCAAGGAGUCUAACAUGCCUGCGAGUGUUCGGGUGGAAACCCGUGCGCGCAAUGAAAGUGAAAGUUGGGACUCCGUCGUGGAGGGCACGACGCCCGGACCAGACUUCUGUGACGCUCUGCGUAAAGCAUGUAUGUUAGGACCGAAGAUGGUGACUAUGCUGAAUAGGGUGAAGCAGAGGAACUCU
rnacentral:rRNA from 1 species